UGAUUCCAUUUUGUUUGGGAGUGGCGUUGAUUCAAUUAAGAGGGGGCACACUGCUGCAACGUUGAUUUAAUUUGAAGUGAUGUUUUUAAUUUCUAUAGGAAUAGGUGUAGUGAUGAAUUUCCAUUUCAAACUUGAAGAGAAAGUCACGACUGAAUUAUUGGAUAACUUUUUAAAGAUGAGGAACGAUGAUUUUUAUUUUUUUUAUUUCUUUUGUUGGGAAAAACAUGUGCUGAUUUUGGCUUUGAGAGGAUGCAGCGCUGGUUCAUUUCUUUUCUUCCGAAAGUGAUGCCAAAUUUUUUUCUUCCUUUUAGAGAAGCGUUGGUUUAUUUGUGAGCACCUUUGAGGUUUCAAUUAGAUAAGGGCAGCUGCCACCUUGAUUUAAUUUUAAAGCAUUUAUUUUCUAUUAGAAGAGAAGUAGUUUAGUUAUUUUUAUUUUAUCUUUUUGUUUACGUUUCUUUUAUUUUAAAAUUUGAUUCCAUGAUAAAUAGAAUUUAACUUUUUAAUUUAAGCAUUGCAUUUUAAUAGCUUUGUUUGUGUUUGGAUAGCUAUCUAUUGCAUUGUUCAGUUUAAUGUUUUCAUGCACUUUAAUGCUUUCGAUUAUGUUUGGUUGUAUUUAAUUCCCAGUUUAAUUUAAUUUAAGUUUCCUUGCAAGAACACUUUCAACCCCCCCACUACGUGCUAGACCUAAGACUCGAACCGCAUUUGUUCGUUGAGAGACGACCUAGGAGUCACUUCCGAGUCUAUACUGCAUUCCUAAUUGCACAUCAAAUUUGCAUGGGGUGCGACACCCAUCAAAUUUUGGCGCCGUUGCCGGGGACCAACGGUUCGGUUUUAGGUCUUUUGUUGUGUUAGUGUGUGUUGUCUUGUCUUGUGUUGUGAUGUAUGAUGUUCUGUUUUGUGUGUUCGUCAUUGUGUGUUGCAUUUAGGUAACUUUAGUUGCAUAUUUUCAUUACCUUCUUCCUUUCCCCCCUUCUACAUGUCUACCUAUUUUGGUUAUGUGAGUAAUGCUUAUUCUGCCUGUGUCUAUGACUAUGAUUCUCCUUUUGCAUCUGACUCUGAUAUUGCUUCUCACGCAUAUUUUGUUGAUUUCUAUGUUGAGAAUAGUACGAUUCCUCCUCC
rnacentral:lncRNA from 1 species